UACGAAGGGGGCAAGCGUUGUUCGGAUUUACUGGGCGUAAAGGGCGCGCAGGCGGCUCUUCAAGUCAGAUGUGAAAGCCCCGGGCUCAACCUGGGAACUGCAUUUGAGACUGAAGAACUCGAGUUCGGGAGAGGAUGGCGGAAUUCCCAGUGUAGAGGUGAAAUUCGUAGAUAUUGGGAAGAACACCGGUGGCGAAGGCGGCCAUCUGGACCGAGACUGACGCUGAGGUGCGAAAGCGUGGGGGAGCAAACAGGGAUUAAGAAACCCUGGGUACGUCC
rnacentral:rRNA from 1 species